ensembl:lncRNA
GAAAUAGUCAUGACGUGUUUCCUGUUAGGGACGAAGGUCAAAUUCCAAACGUUCACACGACUGUUCACAGUUCUGGAAGCGAGAAUUCCAAGAGCCUUGUGUUGGCGAGGUUCCCAGAAGUACAGCACUCUGGACCCCGAUGGCCACCUUUAUUCACACAAAGAAAGGGUUUUUCCAUUUGGAGGUCAACAUGUUGAAGGUGAGUAGUUAAUAUUGUGUCUAAUCAAUAGCCUACAUUUUUCGGAGGGGCCUCAUCCAGAACGAAGAGUGAAGAUAGGACUUUGCUGGUACCAACCCCACUGAUAGAGAG